GUUCCAGACAAAACUCAAAUUCACAAGCAAGAUACUACGAAACUGGAAAAGUCUGUCUCUCAAACUAAACCAGAAGAAAAAGUUAUCAAGCAGGUGAAAGCCGCUACAAUUCACAAAACAGAACAAGCUGAACAUCAAAUAAAAGAAACUCCAACUGCAAAAACA